GCGCCGCUGGCGCAACGGGAUAGCGCGGCCGCCUCCUAAGCGGCAGGUUGCCGGUUCGAAUCCGGCGCGGCGCA
rnacentral:tRNA from 1 species